CAAAUACUCCCUCCGUCCGGACAUACUUGUCAUCAAAAUGGAUAAAAGGAAAUGUAUCUAGACGUAUUUUAGUUUUAGAUACAUCUAUUUUUAUCCAUUUUGAUGACAAGUAUUUUCGGACGGAGGGAGUAGAAA
rnacentral:pre_miRNA from 1 species